GGUGUGACGAUGUUUGUUUUUAUUCCUAACCCCCAAAAGGUCGGCAACGCACUUGUAACGCCUCUGGUGUUUCAAGUGUCCAUGGGCGGCGGCGAUUGCUUACCAUCAGGUGAUACGUCUGCUCGUUUACCGGCUUAUACCACACAAAAGAUACAUUUAACUGAGUCUUUGUCCGACUCUGAAAUCACACUCCAAACUUGUGACCAUUCUAAUAACUGAGUGAGUAGACUAUUGGAUUAAAUCACUACAUAGUAUAAAACAAAGUCGCUUUCUCUGUCCCUAUGUCCCUUUGUACGCUUAAAUCUUUAAAACUACGCAACGGAUUUUGAUGCGGUUUUUUAAUAGAUAGAGUGAUUCAAGAGGAAGGUUUAUAUGUAUAAUACAUGCGUAAUAUAUCACCAUUGCACACAUGCGAAGCUGGGGCGGGUCGCUAGU